rnacentral:rRNA from 1 species
UGCUAGUUGUACGAGCUUAGACUCGUUGCGAAAAGCUCAGUAACACGUGGACAAACUACCCUACGGAGAACGAUAACCUCGGGAAACUGAGGCUAAUAGUUCAUAGAGGAGUCACGCUGGAAUGCCGACUCUCCCAAACGCUCAGGCGCCGUAGGAUGUGUCUGCGGCCGAUUAGGUAGACGGUGGGGUAACGGCCCACCGUGCCGAUAAUCGGUACGGGUUGUGAGAGCAAGAGCCCGGAGACGGAAUCUGAGACAAGAUUCCGGGCCCUACGGGGCGCAGCAGGCGCGAAACCUUUACACUGUACGCAAGUGCGAUAAGGGGACCCCAAGUGCGAGGGCAUAUAGUCCUCGCUUUUCCCGACUGUAAGGCGGUCGGGGAAUAAGGGCUGGGCAAGACCGGUGCCAGCCGCCGCGGUAAUACCGGCAGCCCAAGUGAUGACCGAUAUUAUUGGGCCUAAAGCGUCCGUAGCCGGCCACGAAGGUCUAUCGGGAAAUCCGCCAGCUCAACUGGCGGGCGUCCGGUAGAAACCACGUGGCUUGGGACCGGAAGGCUCGAGGGGUACGUCCGGGGUAGGAGUGAAAUCCCGUAAUCCUGGACGGACCACCGAUGGCGAAAGCACCUCGAGAAGACGGAUCCGACGGUGAGGGACGAAAGCUAGGGUCUCGAACCGGAUUAGAUACCCGGGUAGUCCUAGCUGUAAACGAUGCUCGCUAGGUGUGGCACAGGCUACGAGCCUGUGCUGUGCCGUAGGGAAGCCGAGAAGCGAGCCGCCUGGGAAGUACGUCCGCAAGGAUGAAACUUAA